rnacentral:rRNA from 1 species
CCUACGGGGGGCAGCAGUGGGGAAUAUUGGACAAUGGGCGAAAGCCUGAUCCAGCCAUGCCGCGUGUGUGGAGAAGGCCUUCGGGUUGUAAAGCACUUUCAGUGGGGAAGAAAGCCUUGGGGCUAAUACCCUCGAGGAAGGACAUCACCCACAGAAGAAGCACCGGCUAACUCCGUGCCAGCAGCCGCGGUAAUACGGAGGGUGCGAGCGUUAAUCGGAAUUACUGGGCGUAAAGCGCGCGUAGGCGGUCUGAUAAGCCGGUUGUGAAAGCCCCGGGCUCAACCUGGGAACGGCAUCCGGAACUGUCAGGCUAGAGUGCAGGAGAGGAAGGUAGAAUUCCCGGUGUAGCAGUGAAAUGCGUAGAGAUCGGGAGGAAUACCAGUGGCGAAGGCGGUCUUCUGGACUGACACUGACGCUGAGGUGCGAAAGCGUGGGUAGCAAACAGGAUUAGAUACCCCUGUAGUC